rnacentral:lncRNA from 1 species
ACAAUUAGAUUGAGGUAUGUGAAGGUUUUUGUGAGUUGAAGCUUCAAAAAUUGGAGAUUGAAGGUCAAUGAGUAUUUCUAAGAUCUUUAGCAAUUUGUCAAUUGGAUUGAAGUGAAAUAUUCAUAUAGAUAUUAGACCUGAUUUUCAACAUUUAGAUGACAUUUGGAAGUAAUUCAAUAAUUCAAAAAGGAAAUAUUGGCAUUGGAAGUUCAAUGUUCAAGUUAGAGUAGGAGGUCAUCUAAUAUCCAAUUAGAUUAUCUUACAUUUCUCUCAAUCAGUAAGUGCGAUUGAUUUCAUCUUUUUUAUGCUUAUUUUUAAAUAAGUUAUUAAGAAGUGUGGAAAUUUUGAAUUGAUAUCAAGAGUUCAAUCAUUAGUUAUUGAAAUUCCAUUUUGCUAUUAGAAUUGUUACAAAUUUAUUUAAGAUCCAAGGUUUGAUUAGGAUUUGGUUUCAGAUUUGGUCUAGGAUUUGCUUAGGAUUUGGUUUAGAACUUGUCCAGGAUUUGAUUAAGAUCCAAUUAGGAUUUUAAUUAGGAUUUGAUCUACGAUUGUACCUACAGUUUGGUUAAGAUUCAAUUAGGAUUAUAUUAAAUUUUUUAUUUUUAGUAU